rnacentral:rRNA from 1 species
UACAGAGGUCUCAAGCGUUGUUCGGAUUCAUUGGGCGUAAAGGGUGUGUAGGUGGCGCGCUAAGUCGGGUGUGAAAUUUCGGAGCUUAACUCCGAAACUGCAUUCGAUACUGCCGUGCUUGAGGACUGGAGAGGAGACUGGAAUUUACGGUGUAGCGGUGAAAUGCGUAGAUAUCGUAAGGAAGACCAGUGGCGAAGGCGGCUCACUGGUCCGGUACUGACGCUGAGGUGCGAAAGCGUGGGGAGCAAACAGG